AGCCUGGGACCCAUCUGCUCACACUUACUCUGUAUUAAUGCAUGUGUAAAAAUGAAGGACAGAUUUAUCACCUUGAUGAUUCUGGUGAUGGGGACCUGACUUCUAGUUGUCACAGGAUAAAGGGGAAGGUCUCUGCUGAGGACAGACCUCUGGAGAGUGGUUGGUCCAGUCCCCCCACAUGUACUUUCCUUAGGUUUCCUCACAGUGUCCUGGGUCUGAAGUCACAGUUCUGGAAACUUCCCUGGGGUCCAGGACUAGGGGGUUCCUUUAGCACCUCAUGGCCCCCGCCCCCCUUCCCUGGCUUCUCACAAGAUGUUUUCUUCCCACAGGUGGAAAAGGAGGGAUCUACGUUCAGGCUGCAAACAGUGACAGUGCCCAGGGCUCUGAUGUGUCUCUCACAGCUUCUAAAGCAUGAGACAGCUGUCUUAUGGGGGAACGAGUGAUGCAAGAUUUGUUCAU